rnacentral:rRNA from 1 species
GAUGAACGCUGGCGGCAGGCCUAACACAUGCAAGUCGAACGAGUGGGGACGGGUGAGUAAGAGGUGGGUAACCUCCCAUCAGAGGGGAUAACACUUGGAAAAAGGUGCUAAACCGAUAAUGGUGGAUGGACACACGUUGCAUUAUCUAGUUGGUGAGGUAACGUCUCACCAAGGCCAAGAUGCAUAGCCGACCUGAGAGGGUGAUCGGCCACACUGGGACUGAGCCACGGCCCAGACUCCUACGGGAGGCAGCAGUAGGGAAUCUUCGGCAAUGGACGAAAGUCUGACCGAGCAACGCCGCGUGAUUGAAGAAGGUUUUCGGAUCGUAAAACUCUGUUGUUAGAGAAGCGGUAUCUAACCAGAAAGCCACGGCUAACUACGUGCCAGCAGCCGCGGUAAUAC